rnacentral:rRNA from 1 species
UACAGGGGGGGCAAGCGUUGUUCGGAAUUACUGGGCGUAAAGGGCUCGUAUGCGGCCAACUAAGUCACACGUGAAAUCCCCAGGCUUAACCUGGGAACUGCGUGUGAUACUGGAUGGCUUGAAUCCGGGAGAGGAUAGUGGAAUUCCCAGUGUAGAGGUGAAAUUCGUAGAUAUUGGGAAGAACACCGGUGGCGAAGGCGGCUAUCUGGCCCGUAAUUGACGCUGAGGCGCGAAAGCGUGGGGAGCAAACAGG